rnacentral:sRNA from 1 species
CUCUUUAAGCUCUGUUAGCUUGGCCUGUGUCCCUGGAGGUAAGUGGCUUCAGGACCUGGUUGCAGAGGGGCUGGGGCUCCCAUGAUGUCCAGCACUGGGCUCUGAUCACGCCUGAGGACGCAGUGCACCCCAGGACCUUUGACACCUGGGGGUCUGAGGGGCCCCAGUUUUAAUGGCUUGUGAACUUGUAGACUAUUUUCUCCCCCACCCUCACUGUGUCUUUGUUACAGGUGCAGCUUCAAGCUUAGGACCACCCACCAUGCCCAUCCAGGUGCUGAAGGGUCUGACCAUCACUCGGUAAGAACAGAGGAGACUGCCUGUUACUCGUGAUGCAUCCCUCCAGACUCUCUGCUGUUUCCUGCCUAGGCGUGGCUGCAGCCAUGGGUAGGAAAGUGCUGGCACCCACCCACCUGGGCCGGAGCUGGUUCUGCUCCUGCUACAGGGACACUGAGCUGGCUAUCUCGGCACUUCGGGCAAGAACUGCAACAGGCUCUCCUGGGUCCUGCAGGUGUACAGCCGGGCCCCUGCCUUGUGCCUCAGCUCUGGAGAGCUGCUGCUGCUGGGUGACCUGAUCCAACCUGACAAGGUGCCAUCUUCAGCUACCACUGCAAGGCCCUGAGGGCAACAGCACCACAGCACUGCCCACCCGGCUGCUGAUGGCCUGGUGCCAGCUGGGAGUCCUCCCGCCACUUGGAGGCCACUGAGCCGCCCUUCCAGCCUCGGCCCACCAUGGACAGGGGUAUCCAGCUUCCUCCUCAACCUCGUCCUCUGCCCC